rnacentral:rRNA from 1 species
GGGUUGUGAGGUUAAGCGACUAAGCGUACACGGUGGAUGCCCUGGCAGUCAGAGGCGAUGAAGGGCGUGCUAAUCUGCGAUAAGCGCCGGUAAGGUGAUAUGAACCGUUAUAACCGGCGAUACCCGAAUGGGGAAACCCAGUGUGACUCGUCACACUAUCAUUAACUGAAUCCAUAGGUUAAUGAGGCGAACCGGGGGAACUGAAACAUCUAAGUACCCCGAGGAAAAGAAAUCAACCGAGAUUCCCCCAGUAGCGGCGAGCGAACGGGGAGGAGCCCAGAGCCUGAAUCAGCAUGUGUGUUAGUGGAAGCGUCUGGAAAGGCGCGCGAUACAGGGUGACAGCCCCGUACACAAAAGCGCAUGUGCUGUGAGCUCGAAGAGUAGGGCGGGACACGUGGUAUCCUGUCUGAAUAUGGGGGGACCAUCCUCCAAGGCUAAAUACUCCUGACUGACCGAUAGUGAACCAGUACCGUGAGGGAAAGGCGAAAAGAACCCCGGCGAGGGGAGUGAAAAAGAACCUGAAACCGUGUACGUACAAGCAGUGGGAGCCCCACCACUAAGCCAGUGGUGAACUCCACAUACGCAUCCUUUGCUGAGGAUACGGUUAACGGAGCGAAAGCGACGUUCAACCGCAAAAGAAGCAGAGGGGGCUUAGUGGUGGGGUGACUGCGUACCUUUUGUAUAAUGGGUCAGCGACUUAUAUUCUGUAGCAAGGUUAACCGUAUAGGGGA